GAUGAACGCUUGCUACAGGCUUAACACAUGCAAGUCGAGGGGCAUCAGGAAGAAAGCUUGCUUUCUUUGCUGGCGACCGGCGCACGGGUGAGUAACACGUAUCCAACCUGCCCUUUACUCGGGGAUAGCCUUUCGAAAGAAAGAUUAAUACCCGAUGGCAUAAUGAUUCCGCAUGGUUUCAUUAUUAAAGGAUUCCGGUAAAGGAUGGGGAUGCGUUCCAUUAGGUUGUUGGUGAGGUAACGGCCCACCAAGCCUUCGAUGGAUAGGGGUUCUGAGAGGAAGGUCCCCCACAUUGGAACUGAGACACGGUCCAAACUCCUACGGGAGGCAGCAGUGAGGAAUAUUGGUCAAUGGGCGGUAGCCUGAACCAGCCAAGUAGCGUGAAGGAUGAAGGCUCUAUGGGUCGUAAACUUCUUUUAUAUAAGAAUAAAGUGCAGUAUGUAUACUGUUUUGUAUGUAUUAUAUGAAUAAGGAUCGGCUAACUCCGUGCCAGCAGCCGCGGUAAUACGGAGGAUCCGAGCGUUAUCCGGAUUUAUUGGGUUUAAAGGGAGCGUAGGUGGACUGGUAAGUCAGUUGUGAAAGUUUGCGGCUCAACCGUAAAAUUGCAGUUGAUACUGUCAGUCUUGAGUACAGUAGAGGUGGGCGGAAUUCGUGGUGUAGCGGUGAAAUGCUUAGAUAUCACGAAGAACUCCGAUUGCGAAGGCAGCUCACUGGACUGCAACUGACACUGAUGCUCGAAAGUGUGGGUAUCAAACAGGAUUAGAUACCCUGGUAGUCCACACAGUAAACGAUGAAUACUCGCUGUUUGCGAUAUACAGUAAGCGGCCAAGCGAAAGCAUUAAGUAUUCCACCUGGGGAGUACGCCGGCAACGGUGAAACUCAAAGGAAUUGACGGGGGCCCGCACAAGCGGAGGAACAUGUGGUUUAAUUCGAUGAUACGCGAGGAACCUUACCCGGGCUUAAAUUGCAGUGGAAUGAUGUGGAAACAUGUCAGUGAGCAAUCACCGCUGUGAAGGUGCUGCAUGGUUGUCGUCAGCUCGUGCCGUGAGGUGUCGGCUUAAGUGCCAUAACGAGCGCAACCCUUAUCUUCAGUUACUAACAGGUCAUGCUGAGGACUCUGGAGAGACUGCCGUCGUAAGAUGUGAGGAAGGUGGGAUGACGUCAAAUCAGCACGGCCCUUACGUCCGGGGCUACACACGUGUUACAAUGGGGGGUACAGAAGGCAGCUAGCGGGUGACCGUAUGCUAAUCCCAAAAGCCUCUCUCAGUUCGGAUCGAAGUCUGCAACCCGACUUCGUGAAGCUGGAUUCGCUAGUAAUCGCGCAUCAGCCACGGCGCGGUGAAUACGUUCCCGGGCCUUGUACACACCGCCCGCCAAGCCAUGGGAGCCGGGGGUACCUGAAGUACGUAACCGCAAGGAUCGUCCUAGGGUAAAACUGGUGACUGGGGCUAAGUCAUA
rnacentral:rRNA from 1 species